GGGCUGGCCCCAGGGCACCCCAUGCAGCCAUGAAUAAAGAGCACGUGCUGUGCCACAUCUCUAUCAGCACCAAAACUUUCCAAGUGAAGAUGGACAUAAAGAAACCUCCCCAGCAUCCAACUUUUGCUGCUCCCAACAUUUGUUCUGGUGUGAGCGAGGACUUUGAGGUGUGACCAAUGUCAAAGGAGAGGUAGGAAGAGCCCUUUGUCACUCUCUGUCCUGCCAUCUGAGGAACAUUUUCAUGAAUAACCUCCGUGUCCAAGGUGUAAGUACACUUAAUUUUGAGGUCUUCUGCUGCUGACAUUACCACUGGGAGGACAUGGCUCAGGAGCGAGGUCAGAGGGAACACAGGACUGCUGAACACAGUUUGAUGCUGACAGAGGUGCUGCAGCAGGUGGCGGGUAUAUAUAUAUAUUUGGCCAUGGAAAGAUGAAAAGUCAAAGGCUGAUUAUAGCUUUACUGGUGAAGUUCAUGUUACCCAGAUUAACCUGUCCUGGCAAGAAAUCCGUGUAUGAAUCCAGAUCUUGAAAAGCAGAAAUGGACCGUGCUGUUAUAUACCUACUAUUUGGUUAGUUGUUGUUGUUGUUGUUUGUUUUAUUAAAAUUCGAAUUUGAAGAGAGAAGAGA